UACGUAGGGUGCGAGCGUUAAUCGGAAUUACUGGGCGUAAAGGGCGCGUAGGCGGUCUUUUAAGUCUUGUGUGAAAUCCCUCGGCUCAACUGAGGAACUGCACGGGAUACUGGAAGACUUGAGUUCGGGAGAGGGAAGCGGAAUUCCGGGUGUAGCGGUGAAAUGCGUAGAUAUCCGGAGGAACACCGGUGGCGAAGGCGGCUUCCUGGACCGAUUACUGACGCUGAGGCGCGAAAGCUAGGGGAGCAAACGGG
rnacentral:rRNA from 1 species